GCGCUACACCUGGCGCUACACCUGGCUAUCAGAUACUUGUCCAGGCCAGGUUGCAGGCCAGGCUCGAAUGAUUAAUUUUCGUGCAUUCAGAUAAUAAAAUAAUAAGAAUGCAGUUUUUUCAUUGUAUCUGCACAUGUUGCUUCAGAACCUCAGUUGUGGUGAAUCUGUGAACAGAUAAAGAAGAAAAGGAGCAGAUGUCACAUGGAACACAGCCUCCUCCAGACCUCCUGGGACUCUCCCCCACACCCAGACAGGCUGAGCCCAGGUCACCGGGCUGAAGCAGCAGCUGCCACCCAGAGAGUGGUACAGGGGAAGUCACACAGGACCCCGGGACCGAGACAGCAGUAGAGAAUCGAAGCCAAUCGUUUUAUCUCCAAGGAAGACAGAAUCAGUGCAUGGAGUGAAGUAAGUGAUGGGAACCCCUGUGUCUGGGGAAGUUUGGGGAACAGGUUGUCCCCAUUGUCCUCUCACGUCCACACUCACGGGAGCAGCUGCUCUGGUCUUCAGCAUCUGAGCCAGGGAACCCUGCAGAGGCCCCAGCCCCA
rnacentral:lncRNA from 1 species